UAAUACGUAGGGUGCAAGCGUUGUCCGGAAUUAUUGGGCGUAAAGGGCUCGUAGGCGGUCCAUCGCGUCGGGAGUGAAAAGCUGGGGCUUAACCCCAGUCCUGCUUUCGAUACGGGUGGACUAGAGGUAUGCAGGGGAGAAUGGAAUUCCUGGUGUAGCGGUGAAAUGCGCAGAUAUCAGGAGGAACACCGGUGGCGAAGGCGGUUCUCUGGGCAUUACCUGAC
rnacentral:rRNA from 1 species